rnacentral:rRNA from 1 species
AUUGAACGCUGGCGGCAGGCCUAACACAUGCAAGUCGAACGGUAACAGGAAGCAGCUUGCUGCUUCGCUGACGAGUGGCGGACGGGUGAGUAAUGUCUGGGAAGCUGCCUGAUGGAGGGGGAUAACUACUGGAAACGGUAGCUAAUACCGCAUAAUGUCGCAAGACCAAAGAGGGGGACCUUCGGGCCUCUUGCCAUCGGAUGUGCCCAGAUGGGAUUAGCUUGUUGGUGGGGUAACGGCUCACCAAGGCGACGAUCCCUAGCUGGUCUGAGAGGAUGACCAGCCACACUGGAACUGAGACACGGUCCAGACUCCUACGGGAGGCAGCAGUGGGGAAUAUUGCACAAUGGGCGCAAGCCUGAUGCAGCCAUGCCGCGUGUAUGAAGAAGGCCUUCGGGUUGUAAAGUACCUUCAGCGGGGAGGAAGGAAGUAAAGUUAAUACCUUUGCUCAUUGACGUUACCCGCAGAAGAAGCACCGGCUAACUCCGUG